rnacentral:SRP_RNA from 6 species
GGCGGGUCUCCCCGCAUGGCUAAGCCGUGAAUCUGGUCAGGUCCGGAAGGAAGCAGCCAUAAUGGAAGAUGCCAGUGCCGGGGUUCAGGCUCGCCACC